GGAGUUUAGGAUAUCAUACUAAACCAUAGACCUUCAAAGUCUAAAAAAAAGGCGCAAACCC
rnacentral:tRNA from 1 species